rnacentral:piRNA from 1 species
UGGAAACUCAAGAGCACCCUUUAUCCUGC